GUCCCGUUGGUCUAGUGGUAUGAUUCUCGCUUAGGGUUUACUCUAAGUCCAAAUUUGCGAGAGGCCCCGCGUUCGAAUCGCGGAUGGGACC